GCCAGGAAUGGGUGGUGUACACCUGUAAUCCGAGCUACUGAGGAGGCUGAGGCAGGAGAAUUUCAAGUUCCUGGCCAGCCUCUGUAACUUGGCAAGAUCCUGUCUCAA
rnacentral:sRNA from 1 species